CCCUCAAUUAAUCAUCUUUCCCCUUUCUCUCUCUCUUCCUCUCACCUUCUCUCUCCCCCAUCUCUCUCUAACCCUAAUAAUUAACGAGCUGCCACAUCGUGGUCGGAAAAUACAGUGACGGUCGCCGCCGUCUACAUUGCCAUCGCCGUCCACGGCCUUUUUCCUUUCUCUCUCUUUUGAUCUCACGUUUUCUCUCCCCUUCUCUCUAACCCUAAUAACGCCACCUCCUAGUCACGGUCGGCACCUGCCAGUCACCAUCGCCGCCGUAUACAGUUGACGUCGCCGGCCUAUGUGACAAUUUCAGGAUGGAGGUACGCCAAUUGAUAUUUGGAAGUCAAGGUAUUCAACUUCUUACUAUGGAUGCAGUGAGAGAGGCCCUCGUUUUGCUUCUGCUGUGAGUGUGCGUUCUUCAAAUGGAUAUCUACUUAUUGCAACUAGCGGAGGACUCAACCAACAAAGAACUGGAAUGGCAGGUGAAAAGAGGAGUAAGAAAACAAAAAAAGCUAAGGAGACGAGGGUUCCCAGAGACCACCAAAAAACCUUAUGAUUAGAAAUAGAAGCCCGUCGCCAAGUCUCCCAUCAUGCGGCGCUCCAUUGCCACGUCUUCCAAUACCGAGUCGUUUGAUAGAGUGUCAAACACACAAAGGCAUGUUUGAAUGUUAAUGUUGUGGUGAAUUUGUGGAUUGUGUAAGUGUUUUGUGGAUGUUUGCGAGAGGUGAAGUAGUCUAAUGUUGUAGACUAACUUAGUGUAGAUCUACUAGUUUAAUGUUUUGUGGAUGUUUGCAAAGGUUGUGAAGUAGUUUAAUGUUGUGUAGAUGUUUGCGAAUGUUGAAGUAGCUUAAUGUCUCUUCGGAAUGUUUGAAUGACGUUUUGAUUCAACUUUGAAGUAGUUUCGAAUUGAAUUUGACGUAUUGUUGGUUGUAAUAUAUGUGUUUGUUGAAGUAGCUUAAUGUUUUAUGUUUUGCAGUA